rnacentral:rRNA from 1 species
UGAGGAAUAUUGGUCAAUGGUCGGGAGACUGAACCAGCCAAGCCGCGUGAGGGAAGAAGGUACAGCGUAUCGUAAACCUCUUUUGCCGGGGAACAAGAGCUUCCACGAGUGGGAGUGUGAGCGUACCCGGAGAAAAAGCAUCGGCUAACUCCGUGCCAGCAGCCGCGGUAAUACGGAGGAUGCGAGCGUUAUCCGGAUUUAUUGGGUUUAAAGGGUGCGUAGGCGGCGAGUUAAGUCAGCGGUAAAAGCCCGGGGCUCACCCCCGGCCCGCCGUUGAAACUGGCUGGCUUGAGUUGGGGAAAG